GAUCAACGCUGGCGGCGUGCAUAACACAUGCAAGUCGAACGAAGUGGCGAACGGGUGAGGAACACGUGAGUAACCGGCCUUCCACAAGGGGAUAGCCUUUGGAAACGACGAAAAAUACCCUAUAGUGUAAGAUUGACUUGCGUCGGAUUAGCUAGUUGGUGAGAUAAAAGCCCACCAAGGCGACGAGUAGUAGCCGGCGUGAGAGAGUGUACGGACACAUUGGGACUGAGACACGGCCCAAAUUCUACGGGAGGCAGCAGUGGGGAAUGUUGCACAAUGGGGGAAACACUGAUGCAGCGAGGCCGUGUGAUUUAGAAGGCCUUCGGGUUGUAAAAAUCUUUUUUAUGGGAUGCAGUACCAUAAGAAUAAGGUCCGGCUAAAUACGUGCCAGCAGCCGCGGUAAUAC
rnacentral:rRNA from 1 species